GACGAACGCUGGCGGCGUGCUUAACACAUGCAAGUCGAACGGAAAGGCGCGGCUCGGGUGGGGUGCGCGAGGGGCAAACGGGUGAGUAACACGGGAGUAACCCGCGCUUGACGGGGGGAUAACUCCAGGAAACGGGGGCUAAUACCGGAUAGGAGCUCCUGCUGCAUGGGGGGGGUGGGAAAGUUUCGGCGGGUGGGGAUGGACGCGGGGCUUAUCAGCUUGGUGGUGGGGGAGUGGCUUACCAAGGCUUUGACGGGGGGCCGGCCUGAGGGGGUGACCGCCCCCCAUGGUCCUGCGGUACGGCCCAGAGGCCUACGUUGGGCAGUGGUGGGGAAUAUUGUCCAAUGGGCGGACGCGUGAUGCAGCGGCGCCGCGUUCGGGAUGACGGCCUUCGGGUUGUGAACCGCUUUCGCCUGUGACGACGCUUGGGUGACGGUACUGGGUAAAGAAGCACCGGCUAACUACGUG
rnacentral:rRNA from 1 species